GAGCUGCCCCUCUGGAGGAAAAAAAGUUUUAUUUAUGCUGUUGUGGCUGUAUAAAUACUAGUAGCCCAUAAUUGCUAAAGUUAGACUGAAUUAAAUCGCCAUAAGUGAGAAUGUUUAUUUUUCAGGCUCAUCAAACAAGAGUUUGUUGUUGUAAUACCCAUUUCGGCCACAAGAGGCUGAACUGCCCCACUGGACUGAAGUCCUGCAGCCCUGGUGUGCCCCACGAGAAGUUCCAGACAGAAGUCCAACAUUUGACUUGUGGGUCCAGACUUCCAUCCCAGAGGCAUCCAAGCCACGUCGGCGAAGGAGGAGGCCAUGUAAGAGGGCAGAAUGAGCCCUGCACGCUGUUGGAGAGAAAGUCAAACCUGAUGAGCUGUGCGUAGGAAAAAUACAGAGUGCAGAACUCCUUGGUCUAAGCACACCUGAAGGUUCCACUGUUGGCAGAGUACCUGAACCUGAUCAGAUGAGGACAUGACACGUUUCCAGCUUGUCAGUAUUGUGUCAGUACCUACACACAGCUCAUCAGGUUUGAUUUACGCUUAUAAGUUUCCUACCGGUUAUCACAGCUAUCAGUCAGCUACCAUGGCUAUCCAAUCACAUUAUGAAUACCUAGCAGUUUGUCCCCGCCCACAACCGUAGCUUCUCAUUCAUCAUGAUCGGAGAGUACCAAUGACAGAGACGUUAUUCGUUCGCAUGCUGAAAAUAUCCCAAAGUGUUGUGCGUAAAUAAAGACUGUGAGUGUUCGAUUCUUGUCAUUUAAAGUGAUUGCAACAGGAGCGAGUAGCCCAAUACAAUGCCAGGUCUAAACCUAAACCAAUUCACAAGACAGAGAAAUAUGAUUGAGGAAGAUAUUAUUCCCUGGGGCCAUCAGAAAUGGUCUGUGGUGUGAUGUAGGGAGUAAAUGUAAAAAUAGACACUGGUGUUUGCACCCAGGAUGGAUUAUUGACUGCAGACUGGGCUCUCCCCUGCCUCCCCACACAAACCGCCGCUGUUGGUCCGAUCAGUCCUCCGCUGACUGUCAGCUCAGGGACAGAGCUGAUUUAUAGCACACAUGGGCAGAGUGCAUAUUUCCUACGCUGUGAGAGAUAGCUAACAUACCUGUGCUGACAGUGAGGCUGGAGCAAGGCAGCAGCAGUUUCAGGCUGGCAGUGCUUUUUUAAGCUUUUAUAGUCCUAUAGAGAAUGCACGAGUGCUGGAUGAAUGGUGCUCAAUCAUCGUCUUAGCUUAAAUCAGAUACCUGAAGCUGGUGGCUCAGCAUCACACAAUCAAUCCUCUCUGGGACUAAAAUGACUGAACACCCAUAUAUUGAUGGUGAAUCCACUUUGAGUGGGCUACGGUUAUCUUUUGCAUUACAAGACAAAUUGUUUGUCAAAUGUAUCAUCCCUCAUCGUUCUCGAACUUCCAUUUUUGCAGUAAUAUUUAUUUGUGAUGGUUCAGUAUGCAGUGAACAUCUGGCAGUACCAACCCUAACCCUCUAUUCACAAUUUCAGUGUCAUUUUGAUGAAAGACCCACUUGUUUUGAUUCAUUUUUAAUAUUCAGCCACAGAGAGAUGUUGAGAAAUUGCAAAGUGCCAUUUUGCUGAAAUUUGUUUGACUUGCUUUUAAGUGUUAGAUUUAUUUUUCCUCUCUCAUUAUGUGGGUUUGAAAGCUGCACAACAUAUCUUCAACCCUAUUGAUUGUGAAGCAUUUUCAAAAACAUGUCAAUUGCAUCACUGGCAAAGACUGACAAGUAACAUUAUCAUCCAUCAAUAUUUGAUACCAAGAGAAAAACUGCCAUCACUCUACGUACUCUGUGUCUUUCUUUUAUUUUCCUUACAUAUGUUAAUGUUUUAUACAUUCAUCUCCUUACACAAGAUGAAAAAUGCAAGAAAAUGAAAAUGCACUAUGAUGAGGCCUAACUGCAGUCACCAGACAGUAUAUACCAGUAUACAUGCACACGGAAGGUCUUAUAGCAAUCCAGUGAAUGUUGUUCAUCUGUUAUAAACGUGCUGCUGAACCACUUAAAAUAUGCAUUAAGGAUUUCCUAGUCAAUGCAUUAAAUCAUACAGGAGAGAAAAAUGCGAACAGCUUUAUAGAGUAUUUCUCCUCUUUUAGCUCUUUGUUUUGGUUUUACAGUGCACAAAUUCCUCAUCAGUGGGCAUCUAUUUCAAGUGAAAAACCCAGUGUACACCACCUGCCCACCACCAAACAGCAUGCAGCUACUAGCUGCUGAACAUAGUGAAGCAUUUAGCAGCUAGAGACAAAUUUCUCAGGAGUAGGUGGAGACCAAAACAGAGCUAAAAGAGGUGAUUUUGAAUAGUUUGCUGUAACAACUCUACAAGGUGACAGUAUGUCAGUGUGAUGUUUUCAGCUUGUUCUGCUGCCCACAGGUGGCAAAAAAAGAAAGAAAAAAGUUGAUGCAGUUUUAACUUUUGUCCAAUUUGUCAGUCAAAAGAAGGAACAGACAUACAGUAUCAAAUAAACAUGGAAGCUCAAAACAAUAAUAUUCAACCUAUUAGAUUGAUAAUUCGUAAGACAUGAAACAAGUCAGCAAAUACAUUAAUAAAAGCAUCAGAUCAUUAGAACAGAGAAUGCAAAAAUAAUAAGGUAUGGGAAACUACAGGGACACGAUAACCGGCAGUACAGCCUUAGUAUUAUUAACAUUUCACUUCACUUAGUGAUUUCCUUGAUUUCUCAGAUUGCCUUGUUUUCCAGUGGAUGAAAAGCAAGAACUGGGCGUCCAACUCAAAACAUGUCUCAUGGCUGCUGCAAUUUUUCUAAUCAUUUAGGAAAUUAUAUUCAUAAAACAUUUGGAAUAGUCUACUCAUGGUUUUUGUGAAAACUAGUGGCAGCAAAACAAGCUGAAAAUGCAAACUUGAUAUUUUAUCAUUUUAUACAGUUAUGUAAUAUUAACGUAUUAGGAAACAAUUGCCUAUUUACCCAUCCAGCAGACCUGCGGAAAAGUCCAAUAUUUGCUCUCAUUUUAUCUCUGUUUUGAGAAAAAUUUCUGGUUCUGUAGCUGCCAUAUAUUGGCUGACAAUUCUCAGUGGGUUUGUAAAAAUAUUGAUUGGUGCAGCUUAAAUACUUACCAUAUUAGAUCUAUUUGAAUAUGGGUUAAUAGUUGUAGAAUGUUUAAGUGUAUUUUAGUUAGUUUAGUGGAUUGGUAGUUAGUUAACCGACUGAAGUUAAUUUAGAAUGAAACAUCAUACUAAAUACAUAAACAUAAGGAGCCCCCUAA